rnacentral:rRNA from 1 species
AUUGAACGCUGGCGGCAGGCCUAACACAUGCAAGUCGAGCGGGUGAAGGGAGCUUGCUCCCUGAUUCAGCGGCGGACGGGUGAGUAAUGCCUAGGAAUCUGCCUGGUAGUGGGGGACAACGUCUCGAAAGGGACGCUAAUACCGCAUACGUCCUACGGGAGAAAGUGGGGGAUCUUCGGACCUCACGCUAUCAGAUGAGCCUAGGUCGGAUUAGCUAGUUGGUGAGGUAAAGGCUCACCAAGGCGACGAUCCGUAACUGGUCUGAGAGGAUGAUCAGUCACACUGGAACUGAGACACGGUCCAGACUCCUACGGGAGGCAGCAGUGGGGAAUAUUGGACAAUGGGCGAAAGCCUGAUUCAGCCAUGCCGCGUGUGUGAAGAAGGUCUUCGGAUUGUAAAGCUCUUUAAGUUGGGAGGAAGGGUUGCUGAUUAAUACUCUGCAAUUUUGACGUUACCGACAGAAUAAGCACCGGCUAACUCUGUGCCAGCCGCCGCGGUAAAAC